AGAGUUUGAUCAUGGCUCAGAAUCAACGCUGGCGGCGUGCCUAACACAUGCAAGUCGAACGAGACCUUCGGGUCUAGUGGCGCACGGGUGCGUAACGCGUGGGAAUCUGCCCUCUGGUACGGAAUAACUCAGGGAAACUUGAGCUAAUACCGUAUAAUGACUUCGGUCCAAAGAUUUAUCGCCUGAGGAUGAGCCCGCGUAGGAUUAGCUUGUUGGUGAGGUAAAGGCUCACCAAGGCGACGAUCCUUAGCUGGUCUGAGAGGAUGAUCAGCCACACUGGGACUGAGACACGGCCCAGACUCCUACGGGAGGCAGCAGUGGGGAAUAUUGGACAAUGGGCGAAAGCCUGAUCCAGCAAUGCCGCGUGAGUGAUGAAGGCCUUAGGGUUGUAAAGCUCUUUUACCCGGGAUGAUAAUGACAGUACCGGGAGAAUAAGCCCCGGCUAACUCCGUGCCAGCAGCCGCGGUAAUAC
rnacentral:rRNA from 1 species